rnacentral:rRNA from 1 species
AUUGAACGCUGGCGGAAUGCUUUACACAUGCAAGUCGAACGGUAGAGGGGGCAACCCCUUGAGAGUGGCGAACGGGUGAGUAAUAUAUCGGAACGUGCCCAGUCGUGGGGAUAACGUAGCGAAAGUUACGCUAAUACCGCAUACGAUCUAUGGAUGAAAGCGGGGGAUCGCAAGACCUCGCGCGAUUGGAGCGGCCGAUAUCAGAUUAGGUAGUUGGUGAGGUAAAGGCUCACCAAGCCGACGAUCUGUAGCUGGUCUGAGAGGACGACCAGCCACACUGGGACUGAGACACGGCCCAGACUCCUACGGGAGGCAGCAGUGGGGAAUUUUGGACAAUGGACGCAAGUCUGAUCCAGCCAUUCCGCGUGCAGGAUGAAGGCCCUCGGGUUGUAAACUGCUUUUGUACGGAACGAAACGGUGAGCUCUAAUACAGUUUGCUAAUGACGGUACCGUAAGAAUAAGCACCGGCUAACUACGUGCCAGCAGCCGCGGUAAAG